CAGUCAGGAUCAUGUAAUCAUGCGGCAUCGAAGCUGCCAUACGCUCCAGGGACGCGAGUGUGAGUUCUCGGGUUGCAUGAAGAGAUUCGGGGAUUCGUUUCUGAUGGAGGCCGCUUGUGGAGCUCCGCUGACCUGCUUCGGCUCACCGGGCCUGGUCUAGCGUCCCGGUGAUAUGAAGCACUUUGGUUCAAUACAAGUU